rnacentral:precursor_RNA from 15 species
UGAAGAUUGAAAAUUGACUAAGUCAUGCUUUGAGUAUUCCUUAUUGCAUAGUUUACAUAUAAUUACUAUACAGUCUGGAGCACUUAAAGUUGGGCAUAGACAACCGAACAACUUAGGA